UUAGUGGCGGACGGGUGAGUAACGCGUGGAAAACCUGCCGUAUACUGGGGGAUAACACUUAGAAAUAGGUGCUAAUACCGCAUAAGCGCACAGUUUCGCAUGAAGCAGUGUGAAAAACUGAGGUGGUAUACGAUGGUUCCGCGUCUGAUUAGCUAGUUGGUGGGGUAAAAGCCUACCAAGGCAACGAUCAGUAGCCGGCCUGAGAGGGUGAACGGCCACAUUGGGACUGAGACACGGCCCAAACUCCUACGGGAGGCAGCAG
rnacentral:rRNA from 1 species